ACAUGUUCCGAGAUGAAUGAUGAGCUCCUGUUUUUGUAAGAUGGCGGUGUUGAAUUAUUCGCCAUGGCACUUUGCCAGACAAAAAGGUAUAUUCUUAUAAUCAUCACAGGUUCCCUCUUGUAUGCACCUGUUCUGUAGGCUACUUUUCAGGUGUACACUGCUAUUAGCAACUCAUAAACAUGUAACAUCUGACAACUUUAAACAUUUUUAUUUCAAAAUACUGCAUCUAAAACUAAGAAAACAUCUGCCAUCUUUGAUUCUUGGACAGUUUCAUUAUCAGUAAAAUUUUGAAGAUAAAUUAUUCUAUAUCUCUUGGUCAUCAGUAAACCUUUCAUCGUCAGAUUCUUGUGGAUCUUCUUGAAUAAUAAUUAACACUUCUUGGUCAGAAUGGUAAGAAUGGCAUUUGUUCUAGAAUGAACGGCUAUACUCCAUGUCCUCAUUAUUUUAUAAAAAUAAAUGCAGUUCCUGAGCCAACAUUUAAAUUUUUUUUAAAAAUCAAAGACUUAAUUUUCUUUUUAUACAUGGACUAGAUCUUUUUGGUGACAUGCUCCACCAAAGUAAAAGCCCACUCAGUCAGGCAAGAAUGAGAAGCAGGAAGAGCUGAAAGUCUGCAUUAAGAGCUCAGCUGUUGUUGCCUUAUGAAAGAUCACAGAUGUUGUCCUCAAAUAAAUGACUAUCAGCCUUAUCACAAGCUAGCAGCCGUGUACGAGGCCAUUCAAAUAGAUGCCAUGUCUACUGUACAGGAAAUAAUUUGCCAUGGAUACCAGCUAGAAUAAAUGGUUAAAAGCAAACAAUCAGCAUCCAAGUCAAGUAAAAGUGUCACAAAAAACUGGGCCCUCUCUCUACACCUCUUCAUAAAGCUUACAACAAAUCUACCAUGCCUGCAGUUUUGGAGUUAACAUCAACAGGAACCAACAGUCAUUAGCAGUAUUUCAAGCAUUUAGGAAAGAUGUAACAAUUAAAGUGCUUUCUUAUUGAGUUGAUUAAAUAAAAAGUUAAAAGAAUAUGUUU